GAUGAACGCUGGCGGCGUGCCUAAUACAUGCAAGUCGAGCGAAAAGACGAGGCUCUUGCUCCUCACACGUUAGCGGCGGACGGGUGAGUAACAGGUGGAUAACCUACCUAUAAGACUGGGAUAACUUAGGGAAACCGGAUCUAACACCGGCUAAUAUAUUGAACCGCAUGGUUCAAUAGUGAAAGACGGAUUUGCUGUCACUUAUAGAUGGAUCCGCGCCGCAUUAGCUAGUUGGUAAGGUAACGGCUUACCAAGGCAACGAUGCGUAGCCGACCUGAGAGGGUGAUCGGCCACACUGGAACUGAGACACGGUCCAGACUCCUACGGGAGGCAGCAGUAGGGAAUCUUGCGCAAUGGGCGAAAGCCUGACGGAGCAACGCCGCGUGAGUGAUGAAGGUCUUCGGAUCGUAAAACUCUGUUAUUAGGGAAGAAAACAUGUGUAAGUAUAUCUGCACGGGUUGAGGGUACCUAAACAGAAAGCCACGGCUAACUACGUG
rnacentral:rRNA from 1 species